rnacentral:tRNA from 1 species
CGAUGCGAUGGCGGCCUACGGCACCGCGCGGGCGCUGGGUGCGCCCGUGGGGGCUUUCAUCCGCCAGGACGAUGCGCUCAACUCGCUUCAGGUCGCC